AGAGUUUGAUCAUGGCUCAGGAUGAACGCUGGCGGCGUGCCUAACACAUGCAAGUCGAGCGAUUCUCUUCGGAGAAGAGCGGCGGACGGGUGAGUAACGCGUGGGUAACCUGCCCUGUACACACGGAUAACAUACCGAAAGGUAUGCUAAUACGGGAUAACAUAUUUUGAUGGCAUCAUCGAAAUGUCAAGCUCCGGCGGUACAGGAUGGACCCGCGUCUGAUUAGCUAGUUGGUGAGGUAAUGGCUCACCAAGGCGACGAUCAGUAGCUGACCUGAGAGGGUGAUCGGCCACAUUGGAACUGGGACACGGUCCAAACUCCUACGGGAGGCAGCAGUGGGGAAUAUUGCACAAUGGGCGAAAGCCUGAUGCAGCAACGCCGCGUGAGCGAUGAAGGCCUUCGGGUCGUAAAGCUCUGUCCUCAAGGAAGAUAAUGACGGUACUUGAGGAGGAAGCCCCGGCUAACUACGUGCCAGCAGCCGCGGUAAUACGUAGGGGGCUAGCGUUAUCCGGAAUUACUGGGCGUAAAGGGUGCGUAGGUGGUUUCUUAAGUCAGAGGUGAAAGGCUACGGCUCAACCGUAGUAAGCCUUUGAAACUGAGAAACUUGAGUGCAGGAGAGGAGAGUAGAAUUCCUAGUGUAGCGGUGAAAUGCGUAGAUAUUAGGAGGAAUACCAGUUGCGAAGGCGGCUCUCUGGACUGUAACUGACACUGAGGCACGAAAGCGUGGGGAGCAAACAGGAUUAGAUACCCUGGUAGUCCACGCCGUAAACGAUGAGUACUAGGUGUCGGGGGUUACCCCCCCUCGGUGCCGCAGCUAACGCAUUAAGUACUCCGCCUGGGAAGUACGCUCGCAAGAGUGAAACUCAAAUGAAUUGACGG
rnacentral:rRNA from 1 species